rnacentral:tRNA from 1 species
UAGUCUAGUGGUUAAGGCUAUGGAUCGCCAAUCCAGAGACGGCGGGUUAGAUUCCCGU